UCUGUUUUGUUUCUUAAAUACCACAUAUGAGUGAAAUCAUAUGGUGUCUGUCUUUCUCUGACUUAUUUUGCUUAGUAUAAUACACUCUAGUUACAUCUACCACUGACCUCUUUCUUCCUUGCCUGGUUUCGGGGUUGAUCUGUGAUGGGGCCUUGUAGCUCUUUGACUUUCCUGGGCCAUAAGCUAGUUCGGAAAAUGUCAAAUUAGUGUGACCGGAAACAUUUUUACCCUCUCUCUCUCAUUGGAAAAUUGCCUUUCCUAUGACGUGAGAAGUCUGGUAACAGAAUGUGUGGAUCCCAGUUGAAGUUAAAUAGUGGAUCAGUCAGGGCAUCUGGUGAAGUUUAAGGACGGAGUUGAUUCAAAAACUAAGCCCCAUGAGGAAUGAAUAGGACUUGGGAGAAACCUUCAGAGCAGGAAAGGGAGGGGCAGGGGACCUUCCUUUCCCCAGGCCACGCCUUCACGAAUCCCACGGCCACCGGACACAUCAGAUGCUGUGGCAUGGCCCGAGCAGGACUUGGGGAAGCUGGCUCCAGCUGGCUUUAUCACCUGUGGAAUUUAAUUAUUUAUUCACCUGACGUGAACCUAUGCACUCAUCGAUCUUUUAAAAAUAGUUUAUUUUAAUUUGCUUGUAUUGCUUGCUGUAUACAAAGCACCUUUUUCUUCUGCGUCAGUUUUGCCAUCUGUAAAAUAGGUGAGUGGUUCAACUGCGUGGUAACCCCAAGUCACAACUUCAGCUAUGGCCACAUGGACAAAGUAAAGCCAGACAGAGGGGGCCCGGCCGAUGAGAGUUCUGAUUCCUGUCCUCACGGGGGAGUUCUCGGUGUAGACAGGCAGUCACCGUUGGUUCAGGGUCAGGCUCCCAUGCACUUUUUUCUUUUCAACCGGAAGGUGAUUUUACAAGGACAGAGGCGUGAGGACAAGAGGCAGCCUCGGAUUCGGAUUCGUUGUGCUGGGUAUGCAAAUCGGUAGUGCUGUCGCGGCCCCUCGGCUAGGCUCUCCUUCUGGGUGUAUUUCUUAGCCUUCCGGGGAGCCCAGAAAAUGGUCGCGAAAAUGUACGACAUGAGUCUGGCAAAGCACAGGAAUUCUGUAACACAAAAACAUUUCUUUUAAUAUUUUAGUUGGGCAGGCACACAGCUGUUGGAGGCUCUGAUGCUGAAUUCCAGAAGGAAGGCGAGGGACUGACAGCCUACAGCACAUUUUUGACGUGGAAUUUCCCCUUGUUCGCAGAUGAGAGUUGCUUUGGCUCAGGACGAGGUCGUGCCUCGGAGGGUCCCCACGGAGCAGCGUGGUCCUCCCAGGACCUCACCUCCUGGGCCGUUCCUGAUGGCGCCUUCACUGUGAGGGACGCCCAAGGCUGCUUUUUUGGAUCGUGUUCAGAGCCUGGGCCACAUUUGGGGGCACGACUUCUUCGGCCAGGGCCCCUGUCUCUUCAUUACCCUGCAGCAUUCACCCAGCCCGCACACAGCGCCCGGUGAACCUUCCUAAUGCCAAGCCGCGGGGUGGCCCCUGACCACACGCCUGCCUCCGUCCCUUCCCCCUGCACCCACCUUGCCGGAACCUUCCCACUGGCAGCUGAGGGUGCCUCUGUCCCACAUCUUUCUCUUUCCCGAAGUGGGACCUUCUCCGGCCCCAGCCUUGAGGCCGAGACAGCUGUUAGGGGACAGGAUUUGAGGAGAGAAAGAAAUGAGAACACCUCUCCCCUACCCAGCGUGAGAACUGAGCCUGCACCCUUAGACUGAGAGCUCCCCAAGGUCGAGCCCUUGGCUCCUGACGUCAGGGUCUGAUCUGUGGUGGGCAUGUGGUGAGGAAGUAGGAAGGUAUCAUCGAACCACCCCCCCUAGCUGAGCCCUGGCCAGGAGAUGACGGACAUUGGUGAGCAUAUCGGAGCAGAAGAAACAAGGACAGUUGUAAGACUGACCAUGGCCCUCAGCGUGACCUGAAACAGAAUCCACCUGGCUAGGCUCAUUGUUGCCCUCUGAACGGCUUUGAGUGACUGCGUGGGUAGAGUGGGGGAGGGCACAAGUAAGGCCACAGAAUCACUGUCCGUUGAGCAUCUGACACCAUAUGCUCUACACGUAUCACCUCCCUCGUUUCUCCCAGUAGCCGUGUGAAGUGAACGUCAUCGCAUCCCAUUUGACAGGUCUCACGCGGGGCUUGAGACCCUGCACUUCUGACAUCUGCCGGGGAAGCCGAGGCUCGGGUCUGGAACCGGACUUCGAGAUGGGGAGGUGCCCGGCUACCAGCAGAGCCGGAGCACGAAGCUGUCGUCACCACCUUGUGGUUAUUCAGGUACAGGGAGGGCAGGACCUGUCUGAAGGGGUGUGUGCCCCGAGGGCGAUGGGCGCCGAGUGAUGGGCUCGGAUGCGGGGGGAGGGGGAACAUGUCCUUACUUAUGGGCAGUUGGAAUCCCCUUCCAUUCCUGAUCCUUCUCUCCGUGGGCCCCACACCCCCAGGAGAGCUCUUCCCGGCCGGUGCAAGCUGACCGGCCGGGACAGUCGCCCUAUUUCAGCUGAGCUGUAAUAUCCACGCGGUAAGGCUCACCCAUUUCAAGCGGACGAUUCAGUGGGUUUGAGUAAAUUCACAAGGCUGGGCAACCAUCACCACCGCUGACUAGAACACUUUCGUCACCCCGUGCCCGGAAGCACUCAGUCUUCACCCUCCCAACCCUCCAACUACCACCCAUCCUCGUGGAUGAACAAAAGGUGACAUGUGCCUCCAGUGGGAUAUUAUCCGGCCUUCAAAAGGAGGGAGUUUCUGCCACGUAGUGCGAUGUGGAUGAAUUUUGAGGACAUUAUGCCGAGUGAAACAAGCCGGUCACAAAAAGACAAAUACUGGGGCCACCUGGGUGGGCUCAGUCGUUAAUUGUCUGACUCUUGAGGUCGGCUCAGGGCGUGGUCUCACGGUUCGUGAGUUCGAGCCCCGCGUCGGGCUCCAUGUUGCCAUCAAGGAGCCCUGCUUGGGAUUCUCUCUCUCCUUGAAUUAUACACUUAAUUGAAUUAUACACUUACAUAUGGUUAAGAUGGUAAAUGUGAUGUUAUGUGUAUUUUGCCACAAUAAAAAAUUUUUUUUUUAACUAAAUGGAGGAGAUGCUGGCAGAGGGUCCAUCAGUCAAGGAGGGAAAAGACAUGAUAACAUUGAACUUGCUGGAAUUUUCAGUGUUACGUAUUUUGGCCAAAUUACAGACAACGGACGUUUCAGGGGAGGUGGACAAGGAAGCAUGGUGAAAUCUUGUUUUCUGGAUCAUUCCUGUUACAAAAAUAAACACGGGACUGCGGCGCCUGGGUGGCUCAGUCGGUUGCGAAUCCGACUUUGGCUCAGGUCAUGAUCUUGUGGUUUGUUACGUUCAAGCCCCACGUCGGGUUCUCUGUUGUCAGUGCAGAACCCGCUUCAGAUCCUCUGCCCUCCUCUCUCUCUGCCCCUCCCCUGCUCUCUCGUGCAUGC